rnacentral:rRNA from 1 species
ACGAUGAAGUUAUGACGGAGGCUUCGGCCGACUGAAUGAUGGAUUAGUGGCGGACGGGUGAGUAACGCGUGAGUAACCUGCCUUUCAGAGAGGAAUAACAUUUGGAAACGAAUGGUAAUACCACAUAACAUUACGUUCUCGCAUGGGGAUGUAAUCAAAGAUUUAUCGCUGAGAGAUGGACUCGCGUCCGAUUAGCUGGAUGGUGAGGUAACGGCCCACCAUGGCGACGAUCGGUAGCCGGACUGAGAGGUUGAACGGCCACAUUGGGACUGAGACACGGCCCAGACUCCUACGGGAGGCAGCAGUGGGGAAUAUUGCACAAUGGGGGAAACCCUGAUGCAGCAACGCCGCGUGAAGGAAGACGGUCUUCGGAUUGUAAACUUUUGUUCUUGGUGAAGAAGAAUGACGGUAGCCAAGGAGGAAGCCACGGCUAACUACGUGCCAGCAGCCGCGGUAAUACGUAGGUGGCAAGCGUUGUCCGGAAUUACUGGGUGUAAAGGGAGCGCAGGCGGGAAAUCAAGUUGGAUGUGAAAUGUCGGGGCUUAACCCCGGAACUGCAUCCAAA